UUGUGGUAGCCCCCAAAAUAUUGGGACAUAUAAAAAGAGACAACUCUGUUCUGCAGAGUAGUGUUGACAUUAUAGUUGCACAGGCCCUUUGUUGACUCUAGAUAACCUCGGGACAAUUGCACAUCCCAGUAAUGGCGACUUUGCAUUCGGAUGUCAUCCAUAUCAACUUUCGAUGCCCGUUUCUGCGCCUACCAUGGUGACCACGGGUAACGGGGAAACAGGGUUACAUUUCGUACACGGACCGUGAGAAACGGCUACCACAUGCAAGUAAGGCAGCAGGUGCGCAAAUGACCCACUUCCGACCCGGCAAGGUAGUGACGA